rnacentral:rRNA from 1 species
UACGAAGGGGGCUAGCGUUGCUCGGAAUUACUGGGCGUAAAGCGCACGUAGGCGGUCUUUUAAGUCGGGGGUGAAAUCCUGGAGCUCAACUCCAGAACUGCCUUCGAUACUGGAAGACUUGAGUCCGGGAGAGGUGAGUGGAACUGCGAGUGUAGAGGUGAAAUUCGUAGAUAUUCGCAAGAACACCAGUGGCGAAGGCGGCUCACUGGCCCGGUACUGACGCUGAGGUGCGGAAAGCGUGGGGAGCAAGCAGGAUUAAGAUACCCGUUGA